rnacentral:miRNA from 1 species
CUUUGUUUAUUUUGUGGGU